rnacentral:rRNA from 1 species
UCGCGGCCUAUCAGCUUGUUGGUGAGGUAACGGCUCACCAAGGCAUCGACGGGUAGCUGGUCUGAGAGGACGAUCAGCCACACUGGGACUGAGACACGGCCCAGACUCCUACGGGAGGCAGCAGUGGGGAAUCUUGCGCAAUGGGCGAAAGCCUGACGCAGCAACGCCGCGUGGGGGAUGAAGGCUCUCGGGUUGUAAACCCCUUUCAGCAGGGACGAAAUUGACGGUACCUGCAGAAGAAGCCCCGGCUAACUACGUGCCAGCAGCCGCGGUAACACGUAGGGGGCAAGCGUUGUCCGGAUUUAUUGGGCGUAAAGAGCUCGUAGGCGGUUUGUCGCGUCGGAAGUGAAAACACGGGGCUUAACUUCGUGCUUGCUUUCGAUACGGGCAGACUUGAGGAAGGUAGGGGAGAACGGAAUUCCUGGUGGAGCGGUGGAAUGCGCAGAUAUCAGGAGGAACACCGGUGGCGAAGGCGGUUCUCUGGGCAUUACCUGACGCUGAGGAGCGAAAGUGUGGGGAGCGAACAGGAUUAGAUACCCUGGUAGUCCACACCGUAAACGGUGGGCGCUAGGUGUGGGACUCAUUCCACGAGUUCCGUGCCGCAGCUAACGCAUUAAGCGCCCCGCCUGGGGAGUACGG